rnacentral:rRNA from 1 species
CCUACGGGAGGCAGCAGUGGGGAAUCUUGCGCAAUGGGCGAAAGCCUGACGCAGCAACGCCGCGUGGGGGAUGAAGGCCCUCGGGUUGUAAACCCCUUUCAGCAGGAACGAAUCUGACGGUACCUGCAGAAGAAGGCCCGGCCAACUACGUGCCAGCACCGCGGUAAU